rnacentral:rRNA from 1 species
AGUGAACGCUGGCGGUAGGCCUAACACAUGCGAGUCGAACGGCAGCACAGUAAGAGCUUGCUCUUACGGGUGGCGAGUGGCGGACGGGUGAGGAAUACAUCGGAAUCUACUUUUUCGUGGGGGAUAACGUAGGGAAACUUACGCUAAUACCGCAUACGACCUACGGGUGAAAGCAGGGGAUCUUCGGACCUUGCGCGAUUGAAUGAGCCGAUGUCGGAUUAGCUAGUUGGCGGGGUAAAGGCCCACCAAGGCGACGAUCCGUAGCUGGUCUGAGAGGAUGAUCAGCCACACUGGAAGUGAGACACGGUCCAGACUCCUACGGGAGGCAGCAGUCGGGAAUAUUGGACAAGGGGCGAAAGCCUGAUCCAGCCAAACCGCGUGGGUGAAGAAGGCCUUCGGGUUGUAAAGCCCUUUUGUUGGGAAAGAAAAGCAGCAGGUUAAUACCCCGCUGUUCUGACGGUACCCAAAGAAUAAGCACCGGCUAACUUCGUG